rnacentral:rRNA from 1 species
UACGGAGGGGACUAGCGUUGUUCGGAAUUACUGGGCGUAAAGCGCACGUAGGCGGAUUUGUAAGUCAGGGGUGAAAUCCCGGGGCUCAACCCCGGAACUGCCUUUGAUACUGCGAAUCUCGAGUCCGGAAGAGGUGAGUGGAAUUCCUAGUGUAAAGGUGAAAUUCGUAGAUAUUAGGAAGAACACCAGUGGCGAAGGCGGCUCACUGGUCCGGUACUGACGCUGAGGUGCGAAAGCGUGGGGAGCAAACAGG